rnacentral:rRNA from 1 species
UACGAGAGGCGCAAACGUUAUUCGGAUUUACUGGGCUUAAAGAGUUCGUAGGCGGCGCAGAAAGUAGGGUGUGAAAGCCCUCGGCUCAACCGAGGAAUUGCGCUCUAAACUACUGUGCUUGAGGAAGCUAGAGGUGAGCGGAACUGAUGGUGGAGCGGUGAAAUGCGUUGAUAUCAUCAGGAGCACCGGAGGCGAAGGCGGCUCACUGGGGCUUAUCUGACGCUGAGGAACGAAAGCCAGGGGAGCGAACGGG